rnacentral:misc_RNA from 1 species
UCUCCGUAGGUGAACCUGCGGAGGGAUCAUUACAGAGUUCAUGCCCUCCGGGUAGAUCUCCCACCCUAUGUUAUUAUUACUUUGUUGCUUUGGCGGGCCGUUAGGCUCCGGCCCGACCACCGGCCCCGGCUGGUAAGCGCCCGCCAGAGGACCCAAAACCCUGAAUAUUAGUGUCGUCUGAGUACUAUAUAAUAGUUAAAACUUUCAACAACGGAUCUCUUGGUUCUG